rnacentral:rRNA from 2 species
UUUUAAAUGGCCGCAGUAUUUUGACUGUGCAAAGGUAGCAUAAUCAUUAGUUUUUUAAUUAAAAGCUUGUAUGAAAGGUUGGACGAGGUAAAAUCUGUCUCUAUUUAAAUUAUAGUAGAAUUUAACUUUUAAGUUAAAAGGCUUAAAUAUUAUUAAAAGACGAGAAGACCCUAUAGAUCUUUAUAAUUUAUUAAGUAAAAUUAUUUUAGAAAUUUUAAUGUUUUAUUUAUUUAAAUUAUUUUAUUGGGGUAAUAAAAAGAUUGAAUUAAUUCUUUUUUUUGAUAAACAUUAAUUUAUGAAUAUUAAUGAUCCAGUUUUACUGAUUAUAAGAUUAAGUUACCUUAGGGAUAACAGCGUAAUUUUUUUAGAGAGUUCAUAUCGAUAAAAAAGUUUGCGACCUCGAUGUUGGAUUAAAGAUUAUUUUAGGUGUAGAAGCUUGAUAAUUUUGGUCUGUUCGACCAUUAAAUCUUUACAUGAUCUGAGUUCAGACCGGUGUAAGCCAGGUCGGUUUCUAUCUUUAAUAAAAUAAAAUAUUUUAGUACGAAAGGACCAAAUAUUUGAUAUAUUGAUAUUUAAUUUAUUGAAUGUUA